CGGUCACGUUCGUUGGUUAGAAGAAGGGAGUGUACUUUGGAUGGCUGAAAAAAACCACCAUUCUCCUGCCAAUAGGAACUUAUCUUUAUAUAUCUGAAUCGUAAUUAUUCCGACAGAUCACUCCACGGACUAAGAACGGCCGUGCACCAUCAAUCGGGAGGGGUGAGCGGACUUUCUUAUGUAACAAACCAUUAUCAUACCAAUAUAACACUUCUCGCCUGUCGAUCCUCAGAGUGCCCGGACCCGGUAAGUUAUCCCGCGAAGGUCGUUAUUAAACCAAAUGCUCCACCCGUUCAUGCGGGGCCCCU
rnacentral:rRNA from 1 species